CUUGGAUAUAAAGACAAAGUGGAUGGAGUGUGUCCAUGCCUUGCAACAGGAUGCCUUACACAGAUGAGUAAAUCACAGUACACAAUAAAUUUUAUGGCUGAAGAAAUUAUUUCUGCGGAAAUCUCCCUCUAACAGGACCUAGCCUCUACAUAGGACAUGUCUGGGAAAGAGCAAGAGAACUGGCCAAAACUCAAGAUGAGUCAUAGACCUUCUGCUGCAACAUGGUAAAUGCCAUAUUUACUCACAUUUCAUUGGCCAAAGCAUGUCACAUGACCAAAACCAAAUCAAAUGAGGAAAGAGAGGGAGAGAGACCCAAAAGGGAGAAGAGUUGGCUCUCAGUAGCUUUCCAUUCGGCUGGAAAAGGAACAGCUCUGGUUGCUACAACUAUGGUUGCUCCUUCUUGCUAUUUAUGGAUGGGGUGGCUGUUACUGCAGUCCACUAGUGCCCCCUAUUGUCCCCUUCAGGAAACUCACAGGGCAGCAUGAACGGCUAAACCUGGGCAUUCCUAUCACUUGUGCUAACAUUAGCCUGAUGAGCAAGAGUGCUGGAACCUGGGACCCCGAGCCCGGAGACCCUUCUGCUUCCGCUGGAGGCUCAGAGAACUCUACAUCCUCCAACCACAUCACCUGCUGGAGGUAGUCCCAACUUUGUCUUUUUCAAAAUGACAAAAGGAUUUUGUGGACAGUGAAACUAUUCUGUAUGAUACUACAAUAGCAGCUACAUGCCAUGCUACAUUUGUCAAAACUCAUGGAAUGUGCACCACACCAAGAGUGAACCCUAAUGGAUACUACAGACUAUGGUGUAAUGAUGUAUCAAGUUUCCUCAUUUGAAGCACGUGACAAUUAACUGCCUGACCAAUCUCACAGAGGUUAAAUAAGAACACGAGAAGCUUGGAGAAGUAUAAACAUAACUUUGAAGUUAACUGAAGGUACAUUAUUACCUACCUGGCUUACAUUUACUUAUCUUUUUUUUUUACCUGAAAAGAUUGGCAGCAGGUAAAAUUUGGUUUGCUCUGAAUCAAGCUGGGUUGGCUUUUCUGACCUGUGGGGUCAGGGAAGACUUUAAUUUCAUAGUGGAAUCUGCAGCUUUUUGUCUGUGCAAGAUCCAUUUAUCAUCCCUUUCUUCUGAGAAACAACUUUCCCGCACCAUCAGCCCAGUAGUUUGGGCGGUGUGGACCCCUCAAUGCUCCAGAGGUGGACAUGUGAUGCUGGUCUGACCAAUCAGAGCAUCAUCACGCCUCCCUGGGCUACAGGAUGGGCAUGUGGCCCAAGGCAGCCAAUCAGAGACAGUGAGUUUCAAUUGGAGAGCUUUGGUUGGAACUUUUAGGAAGCCCUCUCAUUCCACUGGACAGUUUGUAGCCUGGGUCUUCUAGAAGCCAUCUCACUCCCACCAGGGGAAAGCCUGCCUGAGAAUGAUGCCAACAGAGAGAAAAGCAGAGCUGAGAGAAGGAGAGAACAGAUGGAGUCCUGGUGGCACUUGUGGAUCCAGCCAUCCCUAUAGCCAGCUCUACCCCCGGACUUCUCAUUACUUGAAGCAAUAGAUGCCCCUUUUUCCUUCAACAAAUUUGGAUUGGAUUUCUGGUGCAAACUUCUGAUACUACUAUUCAAGAAUCUCUACAAAGAUGAGCCAUCCUGCCCACAUGCAAAUCUACAUGAAUUAAGAAUACAUAAGGUGGGCUUCCCUGGUGGCGCACUGGUUGAGAGUCCACUUGCCGAUGCAGGGGACAUGGGUUCGUGCCCC